AUGGCACUAAAUGGAUUGUCAUGGGCGACUUCAACCAAAUCUAUCGUGCUUGAGAUAAAAAUAGAAGGCAUGGUAAUGCAAAACAUACGAUUCACUUGGAGCAACGAGCGUCAAAACCCAACUCUUUGCAAGCUUGACUCGAUGUUCCGAAAUGCCGAUUGGGACAUGCAUUUUAACUCCCAUGUGCUCCACUCCAUCUCCUAUUCACUUUCGGAUCACUGCCCUCUCCUCCUCGUUGAUGACAAGGGGCCCAAGCGACCAAGAUGUUUCAAAUUUGAGAAUUUUCUGUCCUGUCUCCCCGGCUUCUUUGACAUCGUGUCAAAGGCUUGGGAUGAGCCAUGCGAGCACACGGAGCCUUGCCAGCGGCUUUUCCAUAAGCUCAGGAAAACGGGGUGGCACUUGGCGAGAUGGAGUAAGGGCCUCUUCUCCAAGGCAAAGUUGCAUCUUCAUGCAGCCCUUCUCGUUAUCCUUCGCCUUGACAUUGCCCAAGAAUCACACGCCCUUUCUGCGGACGAGAGGGACAUUCGGGCCAGAAGAAAGGGCUAA
rnacentral:rRNA from 1 species